AGGUGAUUAAUGCCCGGUGAGAGGGUGAAAGGGACCUAUACCCCCGUCAGCUGCAGGAAAGGAACAAAGAGACAGGUGAUUAAUGCCCGGUGAGAGGGUGAAAGGGACCUAUACCCCCGUCAGCUGCAGGAAAGGAACAAAGAGACAGGUGAUUGAUGCCCGGUGAGAAGGUGAAAGUGACCUAUACCCCUGUCAGCUGCAGGAAAGGAACAAAGUAUCUAAGUGUCCUCCUUACCCCUUGAUAGUCUUCCUUUUAUUCCACUAACUUCCCUCCUUUGUUCAGUGCCCUUAGGACGUUAAUUAUUUCGUUAAUUAGGAUGUUAUAUUUCAUUUUUUGUCCGUAUUGCAGCUGUUAAAAUGAUGGUCCUUCCCAUGCUACUUUACAUUUUUGAGACUUUAUCGGUCUGGGUCCUGCAUGCUGCUCUCCGCUCGCUGUACUCAACC